rnacentral:rRNA from 1 species
UGGGGAAUAUUGGACAAUGGGGGGAACCCUGAUCCAGCCAUGCCGCGUGUGUGAAGAAGGCCUUAUGGUUGUAAAGCACUUUAAGCGAGGAGGAGGGUACUGGUAUUAAUACUACCAGCUACUGGACGUUACUCGCAGAAUAAGCACCGGCUAACUCUGUGCCAGCAGCCGCGGUAAUACAGAGGGUGCGAGCGUUAAUCGGAUUUACUGGGCGUAAAGCGUGCGUAGGCGGCUAAUUGAGUCGGAUGUGAAAUCCCCGAGCUUAACUUGGGAAUUGCAUUCGAUACUGGUUAGCUAGAGUGUGGGAGAGGAUGGUAGAAUUCCAGGUGUAGCGGUGAAAUGCGUAGAGAUCUGGAGGAAUACCGAUGGCGAAGGGAGCCAUGUGGCCUAACACUGACGCUGUGGUACGAAAGCAUGGGGAGCAAACAGG